rnacentral:rRNA from 1 species
UACGUAGGGUGCGAGCGUUAAUCGGAAUUACUGGGCGUAAAGCGUGCGCAGGCGGUUCGUCGUGUCCGAUGUGAAAGCCCCGGGCUCAACCUGGGAAUGGCAUUGGAAACUGGCGGGCUUGAGUGUGGCAGAGGGGGGUGGAAUUCCGCGUGUAGCAGUGAAAUGCGUAGAGAUGCGGAGGAACGCCGAUGGCGAAGGCAGCCCCCUGGGCUAACACUGACGCUCAGGCACGAAAGCGUGGGGAGCAAACAGG